GACGAACGCUGGCGGCGUGCUUAACACAUGCAAGUCGAGCGGUAAGGCCCUUUCGGGGGUACACGAGCGGCGAACGGGUGAGUAACACGUGGGUGACCUGCCCUCAGCUCUGGGAUAAGCCUGGGAAACUGGGUCUAAUACUGGAUAUGACUCCACGGUGCAUGUCGUGGGGUGGAAAGCCUUGUGCGGCUGAGGAUGGGGCCCGCGGCCUAUCAGCUCGUUGGUGGGGUGANGGCCUACCAAGGCGACGACGGGUAGCCGGCCUGAGAGGGCGACCGGCCACACUGGGACUGAGACACGGCCCAGACUCCGUACGGGAGGCAGCAGGUGGGGAAUCUUGCGCAAUGGGCGAAAGCCUGACGCAGCGACGCCGCGUG
rnacentral:rRNA from 1 species